rnacentral:rRNA from 1 species
ACAAUGGAGAGUUUGAUCCUGGCUCAGGACGAACGCUGGCGGCGGGCCUAACACAUGCAAGUCAAAGGAGAAUUUCGGAGCAAUCUGAAAGGACACUGGCGCACGGGUGAGUAACGCGUAGGUAACCUACCUUCUGCUGGGGGAUAACACCGGGAAACCGGUGCUAAUACCGCAUAAAGCAACAGUCACGCAUGUGGCAGUUGUUAAAGAAUUUCGGCAGAAGAUGGGCCUGCGUGUCAUUAGUUAGUUGGUAAGGUAAUGGCUUACCAAGACGAUGAUGACUAGGGGGUCUGAGAGGAUGAUCCCCCACACUGGAACUGAGACACGGUCCAGACUCCUACGGGAGGCAGCAGUGAGGAAUCUUGCGCAAUGGGGGAAACCCUGACGCAGCCACGCCGCGUGCCGGAAGACGGCCCUAUGGGUUGUAAACGGCUUUUAAAUGGGAAGAACGCCUGGGGUUUGCCCUGGGGUGACGGUACCAUUUGAAUAAGCACCGGCUAACUCCGUGCCAGCAGCCGCGGUAAUACGGAGGGUGCAAGCGUUGUCCGGAAUCAUUGGGUGUAAAGGGUGCGUAGGCGGGAGCCUAAGUCUGUGGUGAAAUCUUGCCGCUUAACGGUAAAAUUGCCAUGGAUACUGGGUUUCUUGAGUACAGAAGAGGUCGGUGGAAUUCGUAGUGUAGCGGUGAAAUGCAUAGAUAUUACGAAGAACACCAGUGGCGAAGGCGGCCGGCUGGACUGUAACUGACGCUGAGGCACGAAAGCGUGGGGAGCGAACAGGAUUAGAUACCCUGGUAGUCC